AAAUCCGUCGAAUUUCUAAA
rnacentral:tRNA from 6 species